rnacentral:rRNA from 1 species
GUAGUUUGAUCGUGGCUCAGAUUGAACGCUGGCGGCAGGCCUAACACAUGCAAGUCGAGCGGAUGAAGGUAGCUUUGCUCCUGGAUUCUAGCGGCGGACGGGUGAGUAAUGGCCUAGGAAUCUGCCUGGUAGUGGGGAUAAACGUCCGGGAAACGGGCGCUAAUACCGCAUACGUCCUGAGGGAGAAAGUGGGGGAUCUUCGGACCUCACGCUAUCAGACGAGCCUAGGUCGGAUUAGCUAGUUGGUGGGGUAAAGGCCUACCAAGGCGACGAUCCGUAACUGGUCUGAGAGGAUGAUCAGUCACACUGGAACUGAGACACGGUCCAGACUCCUACGGGAGGCAGCAGUGGGGAAUAUUGGACAAUGGGCGAAA